ensembl:lincRNA
CUGGUCUCGAACUCCUGACCUCAGGUGAUCCACCCUCCUUAGCCUUCCAAAGUGCUGGAAUUACAGGCAUGAGCCACUGCAACAGGCCCAAAUUUUUUUUUUCAAGUUAUGCUCCCGAUAGGUUACAUCGUGCCUUUUCUCUUCCACAUGAUGGAGAUCUUCAAAGUAAGCAUCUUUCAAAGCAGUGACAAGCAAAAUACAACUGGAAGAUCAGUAACUCUCUGUUAAGCAGCUUUGCUUGCUGUCAUUGUUGACUGCCAGGGAGUGGUGAUCCAUGUCAGUCACUAAAAUGACACCUUGGCAAGACUGCUGUCUGCUCCUGGAGUUUUUGUGUAUGGAAACAAUUUUAAGGUUCCUUAGAGUCUCAGAAAAAUCCAGUGAAUUCAGUCUCAAGUGAAUCCAGUGAUGGUGAUUCAUGGUUCCUGAUUCUUUUCUAAACUGCUUUCUCAAUUCUCUUUGCCCAUAAUCUUUCCCAGGCAGGAAACUCAAAAGAGAGGUCAGAGAAGGACGAGAAUCCUCAUGCUAUUUGGCAUCUCAUUGUAAGACGUGGUGGAAUGUGUUCAGCAAGUCAAUUUGGCAGAAUUGAAGAGUAAUAGAUUGGCAUAUCAAAAUGCAUAUACAAAAAAUUAAUCAAGG